UACGGAGGGUUCAAGCGUUAUCCGGAUUCACUGGGUUUAAAGGGUGCGUAGGCGGGCAGGUAAGUCAGUGGUGAAAUCUCCGGGCUUAACCCGGAAACUGCCGUUGAUACUAUCUGUCUUGAAUAUCGUGGAGGUAAGCGGAAUAUGUCAUGUAGCGGUGAAAUGCUUAGAUAUGACAUAGAACACCCAUUCCGAAGGCAGCUUACUACACGAUCAUUGACGCUGAGGCACGAAAGCGUGGGGAGCAAACAGG
rnacentral:rRNA from 1 species